rnacentral:rRNA from 1 species
ACUAAAUAGAUACCCGGGUAGUCCUGGCCCUAAACGAUGUCGACUAGAUCGUAGUGCCUCUGACGGUAUUACGGUCGAAAGCAAAAAAGUGCUAAGUCGACCGCCUGGGAAGUACGGUCGCAAGGCUAAAACUCAAAGGAAUUGACGGGGGCUCACACAAGCGGUGGAGCAUGUGGUUCAAUUCGAAGCAACGCGCAGAACCUUACCUGGGCUUGACAUGCUAGGAUUAUCCCUAUGAAAGUAGGGUAGGCCCUGGGUACGAACUAGUACAGGUGCUGCAUGGCUGUCGUCAGCUCGUGUCGUGAGAUGUCGGGUUAAGUCCCUAACGAGCGAAACCUUUGCCCUUAGUUACCAGCGGGUUAUGCCGGGGACGUCUAAGGGGACGUGCCGGUGUCAAACCGGAGGAAGGUGGAGAUGACGUCAAGUCCUCAUGGCCUUAUGCCCAGGGCCGACACACGUGCUACAAUGCGGCGCACAAAGCGACCUAAAACGCGAGUUCGAGGAAAUCGCAGAAAUCGCGCCCAGUUCAGAUUGAGGCUGCAACUCG